rnacentral:rRNA from 1 species
AAUAAACCGGAGGAAGGUGGGGAUGACGUCAAAUCAUCAUGCCCCUUAUGACCUGGGCUACACACGUGCUACAAUGGUUGGUACAACGAGUUGCGAGUCGGUGACGGCAAGCUAAUCUCUUAAAGCCAAUCUCAGUUCGGAUUGUAGGCUGCAACUCGCCUAUAUGAAGUCGGAAUCGCUAGUAAUCGCGGAUCAGCACGCCGCGGUGAAUACGUUCCCGGGCCUUGUACACACCGCCCGUCACACCACGAGAGUUUGUAACACCCGUCGACGCGGCCG